rnacentral:lncRNA from 1 species
CUGGCGAUGACGAUGAGGAACCGCCAAAUAUUGGCGGCGCAGAUGAAUCAAGACACGGCGACAGUUUACGUAGAACUAUAACAGAGCAAUUAUGGAAUAGUAGAUGUUGAUUGUUUGUGUUUAUGCUAAUUGUAAAUAUUGGCAAUAGUUUUGUAUUUUGGAUAAAGUUUAUGUUAUGUUGCUUGCAAAUGUGAGGUAAUUGUGAUAAUGUUAUGUUGUAAUAUUCGACUGGUUGCAUGUUUACAUCUAUCAGUUAAAGUGUUUAUUUUAGUUGUGACAAUGAUUUAGAUUUAUUUUCAUGCUAUAUAAUUGGUGAAUAUUAUGAAUGCAAAUUUGCUUGACCGUCGCUAUAGAUUUGCUUGAUGGUAUAUGUAAAUGUGCUUAUUGCUAAAAAGUGUAAAUUACGCUUCGUGCUUAAAGUGUUUAUUCGACUGGUUGCAUGUAAAUGUGAGGUAAUUGUGAUAAUGUUAUGUUGUAAUAUUCGACUGGUUGCAUGUUUACAUCUAUCAGUUAAAGUGUUUAUUUUAGUUGUGACAAUGAUUUAGAUUUAUUUUCAUGCUAUAUAAUUGGUGAAUAUUAUGAAUG